CCCUUAGAUGUUCUGGGCCGCACGCGUGCUACACUGAGUAAUUCAAUGGGUAAGGGAACGCUAGAGCAUUACCUAAUCUUGAAAUUUGCUCGUGAUGGGGAUCGACGGUUGCAAUUUUCCGUCGUGAACGAGGAAUACCUUGUAGGCGCAUGUCAUCAUCAUGCGCUGAAUACGUCCCUGCCCUUUGUACACACCGCCCGUCGCUCCUACCGAUUGAGUGGUCCGGUGAGGCUUUGGGAUCUGAGCGGAAAGAGCGUUUCGCUGUUUCUGCUCGGAAAACUCAGUCGAACCUUAUCAUUUAGAGGAAGGUGAAGUCGUAACA
rnacentral:rRNA from 1 species